UAUAUUUGUUGUAUAUGAUUACUUGGAACCGAAUGUGCAAGCCUUCAUUACUAGAUGUAGUUGUUAGAUCCAUCUAAUUGAUGGCUGAAUGGAAUGAUUUAUUUGAAUGUAAAACUGUCAUGAUAUGUUCGGUUUUAUGCCUUGAAACUUGAUUCUUGUAAAUUACUCUUGAUAUGUUGGAUGUGCUUGGCUGGUAUGUUUUUGGGCAUUUGGCAAGCCAUCAACUUGGCUAAUAUGCUUAAAGAUUAACUAGAAGUAAACUAACAUGUUAUGUAUAUGUUUUGAUGCAAGACAAUUUUUGCAAAGUUGGGCCAAGAAUUCCAACUUAAACCUGAUCCACAACCCAUUAAUGAUAGUGUUAGCCUAGCUCCAUUUCAAGUUGAAUAACAGAAACAUAUUGGUAAAUAUUUUCUAUUUUCUCUGUUUUGUAGGGAUUUUUAGAAUAAUUUACUUUUAAAUAUUUCAGACACUCUUGAUCCUCAUGCAAACGUCACCAUCAUGGAGAGCUGGAUGAAAAGGCAGAAAUCAUACAUGAGGAUUUGACCAAUCACGCUUGUCGGUUGAUGACAAUUCACAAGGAGUAAAAUGGAUAUAUGGAGCUCUUUCUACUCAUAUGUGGUCAGGGAUGAUUUGCAAGGAGUAUAGAUAAACUUUUCUUUAUUUCUAUCUUACCUUUUCUUUUUAUUUCUUAUUCUUUGGUUUUUUUUUUUUUUUUUUGGGUUCCUUCUACCCUUCCAACAGAAUUGUGUAAUCAUAUGUGAGAGAUAUGAUGGCCCUUGUAAGAGCUUGGAAGACAAAUUACUCUCUCGUUAUGCAUGUAAUUAAUUAAGUGUGAUGUAUUUCUUCUAUUA